rnacentral:rRNA from 1 species
CAGUCGUACCUAUGGGUAAUCAGCCUUUUGGGUGUGAUUUUGUGGAGCGUGAGGAGUUAAACGCCUUCAUGCCUGCAUAUUCGUGCACUUUGGGUGUACUUGCCCGUGUGUAAGUUAACAUCAAUUUGGUGGUCAUCAAAUAAUUGGGGUAAUGUGGCUUCUCUUCGGUGGAGUGUUAUAGACCCUGGUGGAUGUGGCAUUGGGAUUGAGGAUUGCA